rnacentral:lncRNA from 1 species
GCGAUCCCACCACUCCAUGACGAGUCACGACAGCGAACGCCGCUCCACUCCCCGUAACUGACUCCACGUGGCACACCCCGGUGAUAGCCAUGGGUCCACUCCACUACUCUUCACAGCAAACUCCGCCUGACCCUGGGCAGCCCACUGCCAGACGGUUACAGAUGUCGCUAUCAGGCUACUGCCCCCUCCGCCUAUAAAAGGGGACCCC